rnacentral:tRNA from 1 species
AUCUAUAUAGUAUAUAAGUAUAUUUGACUUCCAAUCAUAAGGUCUAUUAUUAAAUAGUAUAGAUA